rnacentral:rRNA from 1 species
ACACACAUACAAUAAUACGAUAUAAUUGUUAUUUAUAAUAAUUUUUCAAUAACUCUUAGCGGUGGAUCACUUGGCUCGUGGAUCGAUGAAGAACGCAGCUAGCUGCGAUAAAUAGU